rnacentral:rRNA from 1 species
AUGACUACACUAGCUACAUGCAAAACAAAAAAACACAUGCAGAUACAUAUGCCAAGAUUAGUUCUAACAAUCACCUCCCUAAUCUUGUCAUGCCAACUCGCCAAAUCCUCAUGCGGAUCACCCGCAACACCUUGCCAUGGACGACGUGCCGUCGCAGCGCCGAAGUCGACAUGGCCAUCAUCACGACGACCACGCCAUCGCCGUGCUGGUCACCACGCCAUCUUGCCGCACCAUCAUGCUGCAAUUUUUGUUGGCUUCUCACCAACUCUUCACCAUGACGAUGGCAUCACACCACCGCCGUCGGCUUCGCACCGACCCAAGCGACAACAUCGCGCCGUCGUCCAUCUUCUUAGCGGCAUCACACCGCGUCUCCUUGCAACAGCAUCGCACCGUCGUCGUGGCGGCAUCGCACCGCCGUCUCCUCCUAGCGGCAUCUUACCGCAACCACCUGUCCGUGCGGCAUCACACCGCCAAACACCUCCUUGUCGUGGACGACGCCGUCGCAGCGCCGGACACCACCGUGCACCAUCUUGUCGUGGUCGACGCCGUCGCAGCGCCGGACACCACCAUGCACCAUCUUGUCGUGGUCGACGCCGUCACAGCGCCCAUCACCACACCAUCAUCAUCUUGCGGCAUCGCACCGCAACCGGCCACCAGCGGCAUCGCGCCGCCAAUGGCCUUCAUCUCGCACGGACGUCCUCCACGUCACAUGGAGUCCGCCGCGUCGUCGUCACCGCCAUCGCUUCCGCGGAUCGACAAGGCUCUGAUACCAAUUGUUGGCGCCGCCUCCCGCAGCGCCGCACUUCUUCUUCUUCCUCUCCUCUCGCAACUCUCACUUGUCUUUCUCUCUUCUCAAGAACACACACAAGGGAAAGAAGACUCAACACACACACACACACACUUCACCGUGGAGAAAGCCAGCUUUGCUAUGUUGCUCCCGGUGAGAACACACACACUACAUUGUUUUUCCCAGCCCUCUCGGCUUCAAUGCUUUUCAUUACCCUGUUGCCAUAUUUAUAUACAAAGGACCAGACUCAUGCCAUGCACACAGGCCACUAA